rnacentral:rRNA from 1 species
GACAUAGGUGGCGAACGUUAUCCGGAAUUACUGGGUGUAAAGUGUGCGUAGGUGGUUUAAUUAGUUAUUGGUGGGAAAACGGGGCCCAACUCCGUGGAAGCUAGUAAUACUAUUAGACUAGAGGACCGGAGAGGUUAACGGAAUGGCUCGUGUAGGGGUAAAAUCCGUAAAUACGAGUUGGAACACCAAAAGGCGAAGGCAGUUAACUAUUCGGUUCCUGACAUUGAGGCACGAAAGCGUGGGGAGCAAGACGG